GUAGGGGGCAAGCGUUGUUCGGAAUUACUGGGCGUAAAGGGCGCGUAGGCGGCACGGCAAGUCAGGAGUGAAAGCCCGGGGCUCAACCCCGGAAUGGCUUUUGAGACUGCCGAGCUAGAGUGCGGAAGGGGCAACCGGAAUUCCCAGUGUAGCGGUGAAAUGCGUAGAUAUUGGGAAGAACACCGGAGGCGAAGGCGGGUUGCUGGGCCGACACUGACGCUGAGGCGCGAAAGCCAGGGGAGCAAACGGGAUUAGAUACCCCGGUAGUCCUGGCCCUAAACGAUGGAUACUUGGUGUGUGGGGUUCUGAAAGUCCCCGCGUGCCGGAGCUAACGCGGUAAGUAUCCCGCCUGGGGAGUACGGUCGCAAGGCUGAA
rnacentral:rRNA from 1 species